UCCUUCGCUCGAUGAAGGCCAUGCCUUCUGCAAUCUCCAACCAAAACAGACACAUCCUCAACCUCAGAUCAGUCCCAGCCUAAGGAAAUUCUUAUACAUGCUGAAGUUUAAGACCUACCAGUGCAGGAGGAUGUGAGCCAAACUUGGGGUCAGAAUAUUUGGCUUCACAGUCUGGGUCCACCACUGAUGAAUGGCCACAUGACUUUGGAUGGGGCUGAUGAGACUCAGAAGGUGAAGGAUUUGCCCAAUAUAUCACAAUUUGUCUGAUAGUGUCAGCACUCAA